UAUUUCAGUCAUGCACAUAGGCCUUAUUAAGAGGAGCAGGGCAUGCACAAGGAAUUUGUUUUCCAAUUGAACAUUUUCAUGGCGUUUUUCUGUUUUAGUUUUUUUUAACCUGAUUUGUACAACGUUGAUACAACACUCAGUCACAUGAUGUUAAAACUUCACUGGACGUGAUUUGCUGGUGUAAUCACUUUUUAUUCAAUUUAGUAGCUGUGCAUUAUUAUCAUAAUAAUAUAAUAGAUUGACAACAUGACAUCAUUGAAACAUGCUGCCUAAGCCCUCCUCUUCCUCAUGAUCAAGCUAACAAGUAUGACCUUAGCAAAGACCAGCAGCUAAAUCUUGCAUACAUCUCUUCAGUCCCACAUAAAGGGACUGAGCAAGUCCGAAUGCACUGGUUACUGGAACUGGUGAGAAGCAAAUAUCAUCAGAUAUUGGAGCCAGUGGGGAAUCUGUGAACAUGACCUUGGGCGUAUUAGCUAGUACUCAUGAGACUGCUGUACUGGUACCUCAGACAGCUGGCAGUCCACCAUACUGAUACGGUCAACCUCAAUCACUACGCCGCACAAUUAGGAGCCUCUUGUUGUGGGAUCCCUUCCUUUCCCCUCUAGUGGUACACUGACGCUGAAAGCAGAGCUUCCAGUUCCCUCACUGUUCCUCGUCCACAUUUGUGCUCAACCCAAAGUUCCUCCAGAUCAGAUAACAGGUUUGAAUAUCAUGUCGCUCACCAAACGACAAGUGGUAAUUGUGUGGAAAUAUGGCAGUCAAUUCAAAGAGAAAGCUGAAGUUUCUGGUUUUUACAGAAUGCAUGCAGUAGACUAUUGGGGUCGACCAGGAGAAUAUUCACUGCCUGAAAAAUACACAGAAGAGCAUUGGAACUUGUCUUUUCUUUUAAAAUAUAUAAUAUAGCAUCUUUUUAGGGAUAUUUUUGGUAUUGUAUAUUGUGAAUACUGUGUAUCGAUAAAGCACCUUUAUUAUUAACUUACUAUGAUUACGUUUAAGAUUCUACAUUGACAAAGCUUGAAUAGACCAGCUAAGAAUGAAUUGACACAAUUGUGGUGUUCUGUCUACCAGAAGUUGUAUAAAAAUAUAUUAAUACCAUUUAAAAAUUAUUGGAACCAACGCUUAUUAUACCAUAAUUCAAUGUAAGAGA